rnacentral:rRNA from 14 species
UUUUGAAGCUUGUUCCUUUGCUAGAAUAUAAAUAAGCCAGCAUAUGUUUCACAUUGCUUUAGUGCUUUGUUCUUUUCUAUUUUAUUC